AGCUUUGCAGAGUGGCAGUAUCGUAGCCAAUGAGGUUCAUCCAAGGCGUGAUUAUUGCUAACUGAAACUGAAUUU
rnacentral:snRNA from 1 species